GGGUUGUGAGGUUAAGCGACUAAGCGUACACGGUGGAUGCCCUGGCAGUCAGAGGCGAUGAAGGACGUGCUAAUCUGCGAUAAGCGUCGGUGAGGUGAUAUGAACCGUUAUAACCGGCGAUUUCCGAAUGGGGAAACCCAGUGUGUUUCGACACACUAUCAUUAACUGAAUCCAUAGGUUAAUGAGGCGAACCGGGGGAACUGAAACAUCUAAGUACCCCGAGGAAAAGAAAUCAACCGAGAUUCCCCCAGUAGCGGCGAGCGAACGGGGAGGAGCCCAGAGCCUGAAUCAGUGUGUGUGUUAGUGGAAGCGUCUGGAAAGGCGCGCGAUACAGGGUGACAGCCCCGUACACAAAAAUGCACAUAUUGUGAGCUCGAUGAGUAGGGCGGGACACGUGGUAUCCUGUCUGAAUAUGGGGGGACCAUCCUCCAAGGCUAAAUACUCCUGACUGACCGAUAGUGAACCAGUACCGUGAGGGAAAGGCGAAAAGAACCCCGGCGAGGGGAGUGAAAAAGAACCUGAAACCGUGUACGUACAAGCAGUGGGAGCCUCUUUAUGGGGUGACUGCGUACCUUUUGUAUAAUGGGUCAGCGACUUAUAUUCUGUAGCAAGGUUAACCGAAUAGGGGAGCCGAAGGGAAACCGAGUCUUAACUGGGCGUUAAGUUGCAGGGUAUAGACCCGAAACCCGGUGAUCUAGCCAUGGGCAGGUUGAAGGUUGGGUAACACUAACUGGAGGACCGAACCGACUAAUGUUGAAAAAUUAGCGGAUGACUUGUGGCUGGGGGUGAAAGGCCAAUCAAACCGGGAGAUAGCUGGUUCUCCCCGAAAGCUAUUUAGGUAGCGCCUCGUGAAUUCAUCUCCGGGGGUAGAGCACUGUUUCGGCAAGGGGGUCAUCCCGACUUACCAACCCGAUGCAAACUGCGAAUACCGGAGAAUGUUAUCACGGGAGACACACGGCGGGUGCUAACGUCCGUCGUGAAGAGGGAAACAACCCAGACCGCCAGCUAAGGUCCCAAAGUCAUGGUUAAGUGGGAAACGAUGUGGGAAGGCCCAGACAGCCAGGAUGUUGGCUUAGAAGCAGCCAUCAUUUAAAGAAAGCGUAAUAGCUCACUGGUCGAGUCGGCCUGCGCGGAAGAUGUAACGGGGCUAAACCAUGCACCGAAGCUGCGGCAGCGACACUAUGUGUUGUUGGGUAGGGGAGCGUUCUGUAAGCCUGUGAAGGUGGCCUGUGAGGGUUGCUGGAGGUAUCAGAAGUGCGAAUGCUGACAUAAGUAACGAUAAAGCGGGUGAAAAGCCCGCUCGCCGGAAGACCAAGGGUUCCUGUCCAACGUUAAUCGGGGCAGGGUGAGUCGACCCCUAAGGCGAGGCCGAAAGGCGUAGUCGAUGGGAAACAGGUUAAUAUUCCUGUACUUGGUGUUACUGCGAAGGGGGGACGGAGAAGGCUAUGUUGGCCGGGCGACGGUUGUCCCGGUUUAAGCGUGUAGGCUGGUUUUCCAGGCAAAUCCGGAAAACCAAGGCUGAGGCGUGAUGACGAGGCACUACGGUGCUGAAGCGACAAAUGCCCUGCUUCCAGGAAAAGCCUCUAAGCAUCAGGUAACAUCAAAUCGUACCCCAAACCGACACAGGUGGUCAGGUAGAGAAUACCAAGGCGCUUGAGAGAACUCGGGUGAAGGAACUAGGCAAAAUGGUGCCGUAACUUCGGGAGAAGGCACGCUGAUAUGUAGGUGAAGCGACUUGCUCGUGGAGCUGAAAUCAGUCGAAGAUACCAGCUGGCUGCAACUGUUUAUUAAAAACACAGCACUGUGCAAACACGAAAGUGGACGUAUACGGUGUGACGCCUGCCCGGUGCCGGAAGGUUAAUUGAUGGGGUUAGCGGUAACGCGAAGCUCUUGAUCGAAGCCCCGGUAAACGGCGGCCGUAACUAUAACGGUCCUAAGGUAGCGAAAUUCCUUGUCGGGUAAGUUCCGACCUGCACGAAUGGCGUAAUGAUGGCCAGGCUGUCUCCACCCGAGACUCAGUGAAAUUGAACUCGCUGUGAAGAUGCAGUGUACCCGCGGCAAGACGGAAAGACCCCGUGAACCUUUACUAUAGCUUGACACUGAACAUUGAGCCUUGAUGUGUAGGAUAGGUGGGAGGCUUUGAAGUGUGGACGCCAGUCUGCAUGGAGCCGACCUUGAAAUACCACCCUUUAAUGUUUGAUGUUCUAACGUUGGCCCGUAAUCCGGGUUGCGGACAGUGUCUGGUGGGUAGUUUGACUGGGGCGGUCUCCUCCUAAAGAGUAACGGAGGAGCACGAAGGUUGGCUAAUCCUGGUCGGACAUCAGGAGGUUAGUGCAAUGGCAUAAGCCAGCUUGACUGCGAGCGUGACGGCGCGAGCAGGUGCGAAAGCAGGUCAUAGUGAUCCGGUGGUUCUGAAUGGAAGGGCCAUCGCUCAACGGAUAAAAGGUACUCCGGGGAUAACAGGCUGAUACCGCCCAAGAGUUCAUAUCGACGGCGGUGUUUGGCACCUCGAUGUCGGCUCAUCACAUCCUGGGGCUGAAGUAGGUCCCAAGGGUAUGGCUGUUCGCCAUUUAAAGUGGUACGCGAGCUGGGUUUAGAACGUCGUGAGACAGUUCGGUCCCUAUCUGCCGUGGGCGCUGGAGAACUGAGGGGGGCUGCUCCUAGUACGAGAGGACCGGAGUGGACGCAUCACUGGUGUUCGGGUUGUCAUGCCAAUGGCACUGCCCGGUAGCUAAAUGCGGAAGAGAUAAGUGCUGAAAGCAUCUAAGCACGAAACUUGCCCCGAGAUGAGUUCUCCCUGAGACUUAGAGUCUCCUGAAGGAACGUUGAAGACGACGACGUUGAUAGGCCGGGUGUGUAAGCGCAGCGAUGCGUUGAGCUAACCGGUACUAAUGAACCGUGAGG
rnacentral:rRNA from 1 species